GUGAACUGCGUGCCCGAGGCGGAGGGAAGAAGGGGGGGUCGAAGGUUAAGCGGAAGGAAUGGGCGGAAAGCGCAAGGAGGCGGUAAAGUAAUGCAGAUGUGAAAGCCCCGAGCUUAACUGGGGAAUUGCAUCUGAAACUGGUUGGAUAGAGUCUUGUAGAGGGGGGUAGAAUUCCAUGUGUAACGGUGAAAUGCGUAGAGAUGUGGAGGAAUACCGGUGGCGAAGGCGGCCCCCUGGACAAAGACUGACGCUCAGGUGCGAAAGCGUGGGGAGCAAACAGGAUUAGAUACCCGGGUAGUC
rnacentral:rRNA from 1 species